ACCCGCCUCCUCCUUCUCCCGCCGCCCCGAUCACUCUUUCUCUCCGCAGGAAAUCCCUCCCAGACUCCUGUUCUUCCCUCCUGAUUGGGAAAAAAAAAAGCGAGAAGGGGGGCGGCGGUGGCGGACGGCUAGGCUUGCUGGGCAGGGCCAGAGAGUUGCCUGCUGCCACUCGAAGGAAGGAGGGUGGGUCGAUUUAGGGGUUAACCCGAUGGGAGGGUGUGUUUGUGUGUGUUGUGAAGCGUGUUACCUGAGCCCUUGGCGCGGUUAGGAACAUGUGCGCACAGGUAGGACAGGCUCCGUGUCUGGAGCGGAGGAGCUGCUGAGCGCCAUCCCUUCUCCCCCCUCUGCCCCCCCCCGCCUCCUUUUUAAGUAAGAGCCUGCAGGGUUCACUGGAGUCUCAAGUGGAUUUAAUGAGAGUUACUUGGCAAGAAGAAGCGGCGCAACUGUUGCCAAACUAUGUGGAAGAGGAACGGCAGAGAGGUCUGACUUACAGGUAUCCAUUAAGGGCGCCUCAGAUUCCCAUCCCCUCUCCCCCCACACCCUGCUAGCCUAUGUCUGAGUAUUGGUCUUUAAAGGGACUGCUAUUAUUUAGUCUUGAUUUGCAUGCCAGGUUUAAUCUGGGUGUUCAUUGAUUGAGUGAUAUUGUUAAGCAGCGUGGCAUAAUGGUUAGAGUGUUGGACCUGGGAGAGCAGGGUUCGAAUCCUCCCUCAGUCAUGAAGCUCACUUGGGCCACCGUCUCUGAGCCUAACCUACCUCACAGGGUUGUUGUGGGGAUGAAAUGGGGAGAAGAACCAUGCACACACCACCUCGAGCUCCUUGGAAUAGAAAUGUAAUAAAUAACCAUUUGGUUGUUUUUAUUAGGGCCUUAUUGUUGAUGUUCUUAAGCACCUUGUGUGGGGGAGGUGGAAUAGUUUAUAUAUUUAAUAGAUGCAUCAUGUUUGAAAGUGCAAACUAGUCAUUUCCAUGGGACGUAUCUUCAAACUGUGGUAUUAUGUGUAAUGGGAAAUAGGUACAGAAAGGAAAAUUCCUGGAUGCCAAGUUUGGGACAAGUACUCUUUGGUGAAAGAACCCCAGCAAGGAUUUAAAAUCACAAAUUACGCAGCAAAGUAAAGCAUGGAAAUACAGGUUGUUUGACUUUUAGAAUAUGCCCUUCCAAAUUUUUUCCAAAGUUUCCUUCUUUCCCUGGCAUAGAAAAAGACCACAUUCAAGUUAAAAGUUUAAAAAGUCCCUAAAGGUCAGAUUCAUGUGCUUUUCCAUACAGUAUUCAGCUUCUCAGGUAGACUGGAGAAGAACAAUAGUCUUGAUUGCCUUCUUCUUCCCAAAGUGAGGGGAAGUGACAUAGGCUAAGCCUGGCAGGACAGCUUACUCUGUGGUAUUAACCUUUUUGUGUCUUAAUUAGACUUAAGCAUGUGGAUUAUAUGAGGCUGGUUAUCUCAUAAUUAUCACCUGUGAUAAGUAAUUGGAACACAUUAUGAGGUGUGUGUGUGUUUGCUUGCAUAUACAAAUGAAUAAGGAGGAUUGUUAUUUCGUAUUUUGGAUAGUUGCUUCCUUCUCCUUUAAAGGCAUUUCAGAUGCAGCAUUAAAAGUACCUUGAAGACCCUGGUUGUCAUGCUCGUGUGUAGACUAUCAAAAUUAUAUGUUGGUGCAGUAGUUUAAAUGCUGGGCUAUGACUGGGAAGGAACAAGGUUGCUUAGACAUGAAGCUCACUAGGUACCAUUGAGCCUAACUUUCUUGUGAGGAUAAAAAACGAGGAUAAAAAACAAGACCCAUCUUAUGCUUCUCUUCCCUGUAGGCCACACCGGGUUCCAUGAAGGACAAGCUGAACAUAGACACAAGAAAUAAAUAACUUUUGAAUAGUACGCUUUUAUUUGCACAUUGAGGAGGGUCAAGACCUGCUGGAGUGGUGUGGAAAGUGUGGUGGUUGGAGGGAAGAGCUCAUCCUAUACUGUCAAACUUUGGUUCCCAAACGCCUCCGUUAUCAUACGUUUCGGCUCCUGAACACCGAAAACCCGAAAGUAAAGGCUCUGGUUUUCAAAUGUUUUUCAGAACCCAAAGGUCCGACGUGGCUUCUGCUUGAGUGCAAGAAGCUAUUGCAACCAAUAGGAAGCCGCGCCUCGGUUGUCGAAUGUUUCAAAAGUUGAACGGUCUUCCAGAAUGGAUUACAUUGGACAACCGAGUUUCUGACUGUACACUAAGAAUGAACUCAUUAUCCUAAUGUGGAUCCUUCUGUAGCCCUAUGCACAUAUGAGGAAAAGGAAUCAGCAGAUUAUCAACAGCUAAAUAAAUGACACACGUGGCUGGAUUUUAUUUCGGAAGGACCAGUCAUGAGACAUGUCAACCCACCCCCUGACACACUUUCUACUGACUUCUAUCAUGGAGAAAACAGUCCAGUGCAGAGUGGGACCCUGUGAAGCUAUAAAGUGAGAUGAUAUCUUGAUGAGCCACUUUUGCCAUCUAGAGUCCCUGUAAUGAAUGCUGCUGUGACACAGGGAGACAUAUCCUGCACCCUAGAAAGGGACGAGGAAGUAUAUUUCCACUGAAAUAAAACACGCUUCCUUAUGACUAUAACCAGAAGCACCACUCAGCAAAUUGACAGAUUAAGGAAGCCGGCUAUAAACGCUGAUCCUUUUCCCAGCCCUGCUCUGCAAACUUCUCGGUUUAAGAUAACACAAGAGGACUGGAAAUGAAUGAAAAACGAGGAGCAAGGCUGCAGAGAUAAGGGAGAGUGAGAGGGAUUCACCCAGAGAGUGAUCUAGCUUCACUGACCUUAAUGAAGAACCCAUAAUUCAUAUGUGUGUUUGUGUGCACGUGUCUAAUUACAAACCAAAAUUUUACACUACAAACCUCAGUGAGCAGAUAGUAUAUGCAGAGAACCUUUUUUCUUGUGUUAUUACAUUCAUUCAUUCAUUCAUUCAUUCAUUCAUUCAUACAUACAUGCUGCCCUUCAUCUGAAGAUCAGGAUGGUUUGCAAUAUUAAAACACAAAGCACAUACCAUAAUAAUAAUAAUAAUAAUAAUAAUAAUAAUAAUAAUAAUAAUAAUUUAUUUAUACCCCGCCUACCUGGCUGGGUUUCCCCAGCCACUCUGGGUGGCUUACAACAGAAAAAUGAAAUAAAAUAAUCUAUUAAACAUUAAAAGCCUCCCUAAACAGGGCUGCCUUCAGAUGUCUUCUAAAAAUCUGGUAGCUGUUUUUUUCUUUGACAUCUGAUGGGAGGACGUUCCACAGGGCGGGCGCCACCACCGAGUAGGCCCUCUGCCUGGUUCCCUGCAACUUGGUUUCUCGCCACGAGGGAACCGCCAGAAGGCCCUCAGCGCUGGACCUCAGUGUCCGGGCAGAACGAUGGGGGUGGAGACGCUCCUUCAGGUAUACUGGACCAAGGCCAUAAUAACAAUAACAAACCAAACCAAUACUUCUUCACAGAAAACAUUAAAGUAAAAAUAAUUUAUGCUAGUUCUAGGCAUAUAAGUUCAGCAAGCAGAUUGCUAAAAUUGCCAAAUUCCCACAUACACCCAAUAUUCCCUAUGACAGGAACCCAUUUAGGAAACUGGUUGUAUCCAUUUCAAAACACCCCUGUUUAAAAUUUCUAAAUGUACUAGCAAAACAAGUUGCUCCUCUAAAAGCCGUAAAAUGGCAUCUAUGUAAAGUUUGGGGAAACUAAAAGCCACUGGUCUUAUUUAGAGGAGGAACAGAAGACAAUCCUUAAGCGUGAGUAUUCUAUAGGUUGUUUUCCAAAUUGCUAUGUCCCUAAACACCAGAAUAUGUCUGAGUAAGGAACUAUGUAUCCUUGCAUUGUCUGGAAACUACAGCAGGGCUGGCUUCCACCCAAACAAGGGGGCUCAAUACCAUAUCAAUAUCAUCCAUACUGAAUGAACUUGGAAAAGUUAUCACCAGUUUGUUGCCAUCUUGGCCGCAGAGUAAAAACAUUUCCCAAAAGUACUUUAUUUUAUGACAACACAAUUGUACACUUGUAAAACCUCCCAAAACCCAAUGCAAACAUGCUCAUUUAUAGGGUGGGCAAAAAGAGAGCAGGGGCUCUUGCGAGCUUCAAAAUUUAUCUGAAAUUUAGUCUUCCAUACUACUGUCCUCUUUUGCAUCUGACCAUCUUUCUCAUUUGCCAAAUAAAAGGUAAAGGUAAAGGGACCCCUGACCAUUAGGUCCCAUCACGGAUGACUCGGGUUGCGGCGCUCAGCUCGCUUUACUGGCUCAUCUCGCUUUACUGGCUCAUCUCGCUUUACUGUACAUCUUCCAGGUCAUGUGGCCAGCAUGACUAAACCACUUCUGGCAAACCAGAGCAAUGCACAUUUACCUUCCCGCUGGAGUGGUACCUAUUUAUCUACUUGCACUUUGACGUGCUUUCGAACUGCUAGGUUGGCAGGAGCUGGGACACUGGACAGAGCAACAGGAGCUCACUCCGUCGCGGGGCUUCGAUCCGCUGACCUCCUGAUCGGCAAGCCCUAGGCUCUGUGGUUUAGACCACAGCGCCACCCGCGUCCACAUAGAAGAGGCUAAUUCAUAUAAAUCAAUAGGUGGAACUUUAAAUAGCAUUGAGUUAAAUAUGAUCACCUGCUAAUUGCUUCAGAUCAAACUGCAGUUGCAGGGGAAAGGGUGACUCAAAAGUUGGCAGCCCUACUACAGACUAGCAGCUGCUUGAUGUUGCUGUAUUGGAAAGUUGAUUCCAUUCCCACAGGAAUGUCACAAGGGUUCACUUCCAAAUAAUGCUAUUUUUUUUAAAAAAUCUACCAGGUUUUUAGCACUGAUUGUUGUGAACGUAAGUGUAAAAAUGUGCAGGAAAUGUCUGGGGAAAUCCAAUGGGGGUGGUGUAAAGUUGACAACUCUUUUUUUGCAACAGGUCUGCUUAUUUUUCCGUAACCAACAAUUAUCUGAUUAUUACAUCAUAAAAAGGUAAUACAGAACAGGAAGAACUUAAACAGGCAACUUUUGAAGCAGCCCCUUUUAACAGCCGUUUGUUGAUCUGCAUCAAUUAGCAGCUGAAAAUGUUUAGCUCCUUGCUAUGAAAAGCUUCAGGUGCUGAUUUCUAAAUUUCGAAACUGUGUUAACAGGACAGGCGUAGGUGAGUCCAGCUUUAUUCCCCCUAAGUCUGUCGGCAAACCAAGGGAGAAAGUGGGAAGGGUUUCCACUUCCCUGUAUAUCUCUUUGCCAGUAGCCUAUAUAUAUAAAGUAAAGGAUGGUUACGGUAACUCCAGUCAAAGGUGACUAUGGGGUACAGCGCUCAACUCGCUUUCAGGCCGAGGGAGCUGCUGUUUGUCCACGGACAGCUUUCUGGGUCAUGUGGCCAGCAUGACUAAACCGUUUCUGGUGCAAUGGAACAAAGUGAAGGAAGCGAGAGUGCACGGAAACGCUGUUGACCAGGCAUCCUCAAACUGCGGCGCUCCAGGUGUUUUGGCCUACAAUUCCCAUGAUCCCUAGCUAACAGGACCAGUGGUCAGGGAAGAUGGGAAUUGUAGUCCAAAACAUCUGGAAGGCCGAAGUUUGGGGGUGCCUGCUGUUGACCUUCCCGCCGGAGCAGUACCUAUUUAUCUACUUGCACUGGCGUGCUUUUAAACUGCUAGGUUGGCAGGAGCUGGGACAGAGCAACGGGAGUUCACCCCAUCGCGGGGAUUCGAACCACUGACCUUCUGAUCGGCAAGUCCAAGAGGCUCAGUGAUUUAGACCACGGCACCACCCGCAUCCCUCGUAGCCUAGAUAAUGCUUCUUGGAACGCAGAACUUCAGAGUGCUCAAAGCACUUCACAUAAAUGACCUUGUAAUCCUUACAACAGCCUUAUAUGGUAAGAGGAGAUUGCACAGGCUGAGAAACUGUUGGUGGCCUAAGGCCAGCUAGUGAGCUCAUGGUCGAGGUGUGAUUCAAACUGGGGACAUAGGUCAGUCUCUUUGCCAUUAUGCUACACCAACACCCCAUAGUCGCCCUUGACUGGACUUAACCGUCCAGCGGUCUCUUACCUUUUUACACCAGCUCUAUAUUGUAUAAUAUAAGACAAAUAUGUACUUCUGUUCAGCUUGGAUAGCUUAUACGGGUCCAUAGAUUUUAGCACAGAUUUUAGGUCUCUCCAGUACAUGGUUAUAUUUUAUUCCGAUGACUCAGAAUAAACUAAAAGGCAACAAAACCAAACCCACUUGCUGUGUAAUUUUAUACAUGUUUGCUCAGAAGGAAGUUUCACAGCACUGAGUGGGGCUUACACCCAGUAACUUUGGAAAACCGAGAAUAUUGACAUUUGAACACUACAGGGCACAAUCCAGCACAGCUAAACCCAUAAAAAUUAUUGUGCUCUUGCACAGUUUCUGCUCAUUUCAACCAGGCUUCAGUAGGAGAAUUGGGUUGUGAUCCACACUUUUGCGAAAGUAGAUAGAAAUCUUGUAUGUCACGUUCAGAAAUGGGUGAGCGUUACAGGGGACAAGAAGGACCCAGGAAGCUGCCUUGUACUCAGUCCCACCAAUGGUCCAUCUGGCUCAAUGUUGUCUAUACUGACUGUCAAGAUUUCAGACAGGGAGUCUCUCCCAGCCCUGCUUGGUGAUGCUGGGCAUUGAACUUUGGACCUUCUACACGCAAAGCCAAUACUCUACCCGCCGAGCCAUGGCCCUUUCCUUAAGCUUUCAAAGACAGUCAUUCCACCCCUGCUUCUGCAUGACAUUUCCAUGCAUCUUCUAAUGGGUGUGUGUAGCCACUUGUAAAGAGCCACAAGGAACACAAAAUAGACAAAGUGAUACCCUAUGUCACGUUAAUUUUGGUAGUAUCAGAACAGACACUUCAAGCACAAUUUAGAAAGAUGGAAAACCUGAUGACGAGGCAACGAUUCGAGACACAGAGAACAUUUCCUCUGGAAGAACUGUGUUGCAUAAUAUUCUCUUCUUAAUAAUCAUAUAAAAGAAACCCCACCCCGAUUGUAAUCUUUUUUGUGUGUGUUGUUGUUUUUUUAAAAAACAAUUGCUCUGGAAGCUAAGAAGCUCUGUUCUAGAUAUGCUAAGGCUUUCUAAUUUUAAAACCUCAUGCUGUAAUUUUUUAUGUUUUAACUUUCAUAGGUCAUGUUGUGUGAUUUCAGCCUUGUUCUUAUCCCCUGCUGUAAAUUGUAAAGGCCUUUAGCUAUACACAAUAAAUUGAUUGAAUAUG